UACAGAGGGUGCGAGCGUUGUCCGGAAUUACUGGGCGUAAAGGGCGCGUAGGCGGCCCGAUAAGUAGGACGUGAAAUUCUGCGGCUCAACCGCAGAACUGCGUUCUAGACUGUCGGGCUUGAGCACGGUAGAGGCAGAUGGAAUUCCCGGUGUAGCGGUGGAAUGCGUAGAGAUCGGGAAGAACACCAGUGGCGAAGGCGGUCUGCUGGGCCGUUGCUGACGCUGAGGCGCGACAGCGUGGGGGAGCAAACAGGG
rnacentral:rRNA from 1 species